CGCGGGCGGGGAGGGAGCUCGGCGUGCUUGCUGCUGGAGGGUGAUGGCCCUGCAAGGCUGUGGGCUCCGACCUCACCCGGAGUCGGCAGCGAGAGGUUCGCCGAAGAGCGAGGUUCUGGGCGAGCGCUGAACGCCGGCCCCAAGCACCCCGGGUCUUUACACAGUCCGCGUCCACAGACUCUGACGAAGACGUGGAUCUGCUCUCGCUUUAGCUGCUCGCGGUCCUCCAGAUCAUGUCCGCGACUCCUGCGACUCCGCGCGGAAAAAAAAGUUUGCCAGGCGUGGACUCAAUGACCUUUCCAAGCUGUGCGCCUCGCUGCCUGGACCGGGUCUGAGCGCGGCUGCCCAGGCUGACCUUUCUGCGGGAGGCCGUGAACACCUUCCCCGCCACGGUGGACCACCUGCAGGGCCUGUACGGUCUCAGCGCGGUACAGACCAUGCACAUGAACCACUGGACGCUGGGGUAUCCCAGUGUGCACGAGAUCACCCGCUCCACCAUCACGGAGAUGGCGGCGGCUCAGGGCCUCGUGGACGCGCGCUUCCCCUUCCCGGCCCUGCCUUUUACCACCCACCUAUUCCACCCCAAGCAGGGGGCCAUUGCCCAAGUCCUCCCAGCCCUGCACAAGGACCGGCCCCGUUUUGACUUUGCCAAUUUGGCGGUG
rnacentral:sRNA from 1 species